rnacentral:lncRNA from 1 species
AACAUCGCUAUGGUGAAUGGAGACUUGUGGCGAGCGGCCUUGGAGAGAGGGGAGCUAACAACGAAAGUGUUGGUGGUGAUAUCGAUGGCUAGGAGGCGGUGAGGAGGGAGGUCACACAGUGAAGGUGAGUAGAUCGAGCAUGGAGGGUUGGAGCUUCAAAGAGGGAUAGAAACUCGGGGCUAAACCUAGGGAUUGAAGAAGAGUAAUCUCAUGGGUUCGAUACAUUCUUGUGGUGCCAGGCAGGAAACAAGGAGGAGGAUGGAGGAGUGUGUGUGGAGAUUGACGAGGUUGACCUAACCUUGUCCAUGGAAGUGACAAUGAUAGGUGCACUAUAGCGAGGGAAAGGAUUAGUGAAAGGUCAGGGUGUCUGUGGCAUGGUGAUGUUGGGUUUGUGCCGAAAGCGGCGCACCCGAUGUUACUCUUAUAGGUAACGUGGGUCAAAUGGAACCAUAAGAGUAGUAUACUAGUAGUAUUCAAUAUUCGCCGUAGUUGUAGCUAUAGUUGUAGUGAAAAUCUUAAAAUAGGUUUCAUAUAAGAGGAAAAAAAAUCUAUACAAAAGGCAAUUUAAGGUUUGAAAAGUAUAAAAAAAUAAUUAAGUAUCUAAAAAAAGCCUAAUAAACAAAAAUUAAAAUGCCCAGCUUGGACUUCGAGCCC